rnacentral:rRNA from 1 species
UACAGAGGUCCCGAGCGUUGUUCGGAUUCACUGGGCGUAAAGGGCGCGUAGGUGGCCUGGUAAGUAGGGGGUGAAAUCUCGCGGCUCAACUGCGAGGCUGCCUCCUAAACUGUCAGGCUCGAGCAGAGUAGAGGCAGGUGGAAUUCCCGGUGUAGCGGUGGAAUGCGUAGAGAUCGGGAAGAACAUCGGUGGCGAAGGCGGCCUGCUGGGCUCUUGCUGACACUGAGGCGCGACAGCGUGGGGAGCAAACAGG